ACAGGCUGGAACUUCAUGGAUUACGACUCUCCUUUAAAUCGUAAGAACACUGAGGACCUGGGCUGCAAGCUGUAGAGGAAAUCCAGAGAGAGGAGCAUACAUGACAUGGGCACUGCAAGAUAGUAAAAAGUCACCAUGCCAGCUGGGAAUGUCACCUCGGCAACAGAUGUUACUGUUGCCAACCUUACCCCAUGUCUGGCAGGAAGUGGGGCCUGGAAGAAAGCCAGCUAGCUGCAGCUCAGCCCUGCCAAGAUGGGGGUGAAGCUGAUCUUCAGGAGGAAGCAUUCUGAGGACCUGGAAAAAUUCAGUUCAGCUGAGGGCAUGUGCCUCAUCAACACUGGAGGGACCUGCCACCUGCAGGUCAUGGAGCCACAGAAUAUUCCACCACCCACUUGUUCCCACUACAUGUACCAGAGAUGCACAGAAAGGCCAAGCUGAUGGCUCAGAGAAAUCCAGAGCACACUGUCUCAGAAGAGACCAAGAGUGGUUCAGCUCUGCUCUGAGUCACUCAGGGCCUCUCCUGAGGUAGGUGUCUACAUGGCAGCAGGCCCAGGGUUGGGAGGGUAGCCAUAGAAACAUGUCUGCAGUCUGCAUCAGCCACCAGAACAGUGUUCUUUGCCAUAUGGACAAAGGCACAAUGGCCGUAUGACACUUCCUGGCAGAUGCCAGUCUUGCCUCACCCCUCUUGAUUGGGCUAUUGCAGCAGUGUGCACAUGAGUCUAUGUGGGAAAGUUACCUGCCCGCCUUCUGAAUGAGGCAGGGCAGUGACAACACAGCAUACCUGGUUUCUGCUCAGUGUACUGCCUGGUGACUGAAAUUCAAGGUCCAAGUGCAAAAACCUCAAAGACUGAUGCCUGUGUUAUCGUAGCGCCUCCUCAGCAGGGGUGGGUUUAGGGGUGUGCAGCUGUGUGGUCACACCUCACUUCCACUGCCACUGUCUCUGGCCAAGCCCAUCACCCUGUGCAGCCUCUCCCUACAGCUGAAGUCCCCAGGGCAGCAGGGGACACUGUGGGGCUGGGCAGGGAGCAAGUACAGGGAGGGGAGACCUACCUACUGCUGCAUUUGUCAUUGCUGACCCUCCUGCCCCACUCAACUGUGGGCUGCAGCUGUGUGGGAAGUCUGACUUGACAUGGGACAGCAGCAGCUGUGGGUGGGUUUUCUCUUUCUGCACCUGCUCCCUUAGGUGUCCCUGCUGGCUGGGAACAGGUGUUGGAAGAGGAAACCCACCCUCACGCUGCCAUCUCGGUCCUAGGCUGAUGCAGGCAUGGGGGGAGCCCCAGAGCUGCUCCUGGCCCACUCCAGCUGGACUGCAGGAAGCAGCUAUGGGAAAACUGGAGUUGGCCAGGCACAGUGGUGGAGGGGGACAGGUCUCCCCUUCCUAUACCUGCUCCCUGCCCCACCCCCACUACAUCCCCUGCUGGCCCAGGAGCUCCAAUCAUGCCUCACUCCCAACUCCUACCAUGGUCAGAGGAGUGAUGUGCAUCACCUCCUUUACCAAAUCCUAGAUCUGUCCCAGCUCCUCAGCAUUUCCAUCACUUCCUGUCUCCCAUGUAAAUGACAUUGGUCUGCAACUCAAUGUCCUAAAGCUGGAGCCUGAGAGAGCUGGGUACAAGGUGGUCUUUGUGGCAGGCCUAUACCUUUGAAAUAAACUCCCUCCAGAAUCUCACUGAGGUAGAAACCUGGC